rnacentral:lncRNA from 1 species
CCACACUGAGCACACCAAGCUUUGCCCUUCUGAAGGAUAAAUUGGGCUAGUACCAAUUAGCUCACUAAACAAAUAUUUCUCCAUUGAAGCACAUGUUUGCUCUCCCAUUUCACUCUGUAUUUACUUAUUCAUAGCCCAUAAAAAGCAGUUAGCUGGAAACAUUCAUGUUUCCUCAUUACAUUCCCCAAAGUGGGAGGUUGUUUUCCUCUCAUGUAGCAUUUUUCCAGUGUGUGAAAAUCUCUGGCCUCAAAGCACACUUGUGGGAACCCAUAAUUGAGUCUGAGAUCAUCCAACAGCAGCAGAAAGCUCUUACAGCCCCGAGAGCCUCAGGGAGCCAGGAAGCUUACAGAACCUUGCUGAAAAACACGGGAUCUAUAGCUAAAUCCAGAAAGCCCCCGGAGACCAUUUGGACCAACCCCUCCCACAGAAGAUACAGAAUGCCAAAUAUUCCAAUGUAAGGAUGGUCCUGAGAAAAAAGAUCCUUGGAAGUCUUUAGAGUGGUAAUCAUAUGCCAAUGUCCCUGCUGAGAGAUGGUAUAACCUCAUGUUGAACAGCUGCUGUUAGAGUGGUUAAAGCCCUGACCCCUGCCAUUCACUAUGGGAGAAGACAGCAACAGCUUUUCUGCCCCACUGGUGUUCUCUAGGGCUUUCUGACCCAGGUCCUCAUCAGCGCAGUCCCUAGCGUUGAGCCCAGCAACCCUAGGAUCAAGGCCUUGAAAGACAAGGUUUUGGGAUCUCCCAAAGGUAAUUGGGAUGUUUGGCAUUGUUUGCAUAUUAGUCUAGAAAACCUCACAUACAUCACUUGCUCCAGCACAGAUUACACUUCUUAAAAAAGACCCGAAAAGAACAUCAGGAUAUUAAAACACAAAACGCAACACAACUGUAUGUGAAUUUCUGUGCUCAAGAGAACAUAGUGAAAAUUAAUGUUGUGAUCUUUCUGAGCACAUAUCUUUUGCCAACAAUGUUUCUUCAACCACUGUUAACUAAAUCCAAGGACCUAUUACAUCGCAAAUGGAAGAUUAAAGAGAGUUUUUUUCUAAGCAGAUUUGUUGUACUCUUGCAAGGCAAUCUCUUGCUCAAUAGAAUUGUUUAUCUAUGGAAAAAUAUUUUACUUUGAGCAAACCUCCCUCAAAGACCCUAACAUAACUACUCUCUGAUAGCCAUUUUAGAGACACAUUGAGCAAAAGAUUCACAGUAACAGGAAGUUCAUGAAAUUACUCCUUUAGCACAAUAAAUUGUUCAAAACAAUUCUAAUAUAUUGAAGAGUUAAACUUCCUCAGAUAUUACAAUUAUAAAGAUUACAGAAAAGUAUUUUAUAUAUAUAGUUAUCUAAGAUUCUUUCUGUGGGUGGAGGGAGAAGUGGUAUCAAUUUGCACUGUGUACAGAUAAGUUCAAGAUUUGAGCAUCUUCUAAUCUUAUUUAAUAAACUAGUCAAUAUUGACAUAGUCUCAUGACAGGAUUAGGCAGCAUUGCUUAAAAUAAACAGGUAUCAAUCUUGAAAACUAGAGAAACCCUUCAGAAUCAUUCUAUUUAACUCCAAGAGCAGUGCCAAGUACCACAUGGAAGGAGAGCUCUCUUGCAUAUUAUUAAUAACUACUCAAGUAGUGGAAGAACACCUGAGCUAUGUACAGCACUGGAUGGAAGCAGCAGAUUCAUAAACAGCACAAAGAAUCACCCCUGUUAUCCAGGAACUCACUCCACAAGGGGGGUUGAAACCUUAGACAGGCAGAGGCCAAUCCAGGUGAUGUGAGACUGCAGCAUAUUCUAUUUUGAGGAUUCUUUUAAAAAUUAAGAGUAAAAAACUAAAUAUAAGAAUGAAUAUUUAUUGAGAUAAGAAAAACAAAUUAUGAAUUUUAAAAGAACUGACAAAUACUAUAAAUAUCAUACCAUUCAGAAAUGUCAACAUACUAGUUUUAUUAAAUAACUGCCUAGUGCCUCUAUGAUUUUUUUCCUUGCAUUUUCUGGCUACAUGUGUUUUUAUCACCGCUUUGUGCAGAGUUUGUAAAAUAAUUUUACAUGAAGAGAAUAGAAUAUAAUUCUUUCAUUUUGUAUGAUUAAACAAAAAUUGUUUAAUUAGUUAACUGAAUUGUAUAAACACAACUUCAUAUAUACAUGUAUUUGCUGUUUGUAGGACGGCAACAGGUUUGUGCCAUACAAACACAGAAAUUCUAGUAUAUUCUGAUAAAUUUACACAAUUCCUAUCAAAAAAAGCAAUUUAUCUUCCUUUUUUUAUUAUUUUUUAAAUUAUAC